GCGCAGGGGGGGGGGAGAGGGAGGAGAGCCUUUCUUCGGUUGUCGCAUCAUUAGAUGAUGUACCGUGGGGCCCACAGGCUAGCUUCGAUUUGAGAAACCAUAGGAUGGGUUGCCCUCGUGGCAGUUCAGCCGUAUGAUCCUAAUCGUACGGCUUAGGAUAGGCAUCAGCUUUAUGUCAUCUUGGACCUAAGCGUCACGCACACCAUUUCGCUUUCCUGCUCCCGUCUCCACUGCUCCUCGUCCUCCUCGUCCUCCUCGUCCUCUCCCUCUCCGUCUCUGUAAUAGCCCAAAAAUAUGAUCAGAAAAAGGGGAAAAAAACCCUAGUAACCCUAGAAAUUUCACCUGAAUCCAUCCUGUCCAUCAGAUCUUCCUAUGUCAAAAGGGGAAAUAACCCUAAAAUUACAGUUUUUGUCUCUGCAACUUGUUUGAGAAACCCUAGGAAGGAGAUGCCCGGAGGAGCUCCCUUGUUUCUUCUGUCUGGUAGAAAAUCUGGGUAGGGAACCGUGGGAAGAACCUGUUACUGUUUGGCUGAGGUUUUGUUUCAGUGUGUUUCGUGCGUCAAGGAUCUGAUAAGGACUCACUCCUGUUUCGAUCACAUCACAGAUUGAGUCGGUUGUUAGGUCUGAAAAACAUGAAAGUUAAUCAUUUGUAGUCUGUCCAUAGAGUUGGACACAGGAUUUGAACUUGUGUAGUUGAUGAGCAUGGAUGUUGAAGUGAUUGACGUGGAAGAGGAGAAUAUGGCACGCCGUGCAGCAGCAGAAGAUGCAGAUUCUGAGCCAAAUGAGAGUGGAGAAAUGAAAAUGAAUGAAAAUUCUACAGAGAAAGAGGCACCCUCUCAAGAGGAGGAUGGAAGUGGUGAACCCCAUGUUGGUAUGGAGUUUGAAUCAGAAGAUUCUGCAAAGGCAUUCUAUGAUGCAUAUGCCAGGCGUAUUGGUUUCAGCACCCGUGUUGGUCAAUGCAACCGUUCAAAGCCUGAUGGAACAAUUACAUCUCGGGAGUUUGUAUGUUCUAGGGAGAGUUUGAAAAGGAAGAAUAUUGAGAGCUGUAGUGCGAUGCUUAAGAUUGAAAGAAAGGACCCAGACAAGUGGGUUGUGACAAAGUUUGUCAAGGAGCAUAACCACUCUACAGUGAGUCCCAGUAAGGUGCAUUACCUCCGGCCCCGCAGGCAUUUUGCUGGUGCAGGGAAGGAAGGUUACCAAGGGGUGCAGAUUCUACCAAGUGGUGUUAUGUAUGUCUCUAUGGAUGGAAAUCGUGUAUCUGUAGAAACAACACGUCCAAAUAGGAAUGUUGCUCCCAUUGAAUCAAAUCGCCCAGUUAGGAAUGUUGGGCCUGUAAAUUAUGUUAGAGCAAGCCGAAGGAGGACCCUUGGAAGAGAUGCUCAGAAUCUCCUUGACUAUUUUAAGAGAAUGCAGGCUGAAAACCCUGGAUUUUACUAUGCAAUACAACUUGAUGAAGAGAACCGCAUGACUAAUGUGUUUUGGGCAGAUUCAAGGUCAAGGGCUGCAUAUAGUCACUUUGGUGAUGCAGUCACCUUUGACACAAUGUACAGGCCCAAUCAAUAUCGGGUGCCAUUUGCACCAUUCACAGGAGUGAACCAUCAUGGACAAAUGGUGCUCUUUGGUUGCGCUUUACUUUUAGAUGAGUCUGAGUCGUCCUUCAUUUGGCUGUUCAAGACAUGGCUUGCAGCAAUGGGUGAUCGUCCUCCUGUUUCUAUAACCACUGAUCAAGACAGAGCAAUACAAACAGCAGUUGCACAGGUCUUUCCAGAAACUCGGCACUGUAUUUGCAAGUGGCAUAUCUUAAGAGAAGGCCAGGAAAGGCUGGCUCAUGUAUGCCAUGCUCAUCCCACAUUCCAAGGAGAGCUCUAUAAUUGCAUCAACUUGACAGAGACAAUUGAGGAGUUUGAAUCUGCUUGGGGUGCUCUCCUUGACAGAUAUGAUCUCAGGAGAAAUGAAUGGCUUCAAGCAUUGUAUAAUGCCCGCCAACAUUGGGUCCCAGUAUAUUUUCGUGACACUUUCUUUGCUGCAAUUAAUUCAAGCCAUGGUGUUGAAACUAUUAGCUCAUUCUUUGAUGGAUAUGUGAAUCAGCAGACCACUUUACCAUUGUUCUUUAAGCAGUAUGAAAGAGCUCUUGAGAAUUGGUUUGACAAAGAAUUAGAAGCAGAUUUUGACACAAUUUGUACAACCCCAGUAUUGAAGACACCAUCGCCAAUGGAAAAACAAGCUGCAAACCUUUACACCAGGAAAAUAUUUGCAAAGUUUCAAGAUGAAUUGGUUGAAACUUUUGUCUAUACUGCAAAUAAAAUCGAGGGUGAUGGGGCAAUCAGCACAUACAGGGUGGCGAAGUUUGAAGAUGACAACAAGGCAUACAUUGUCACAUUGAAUGUUCCUGAGAUGAGAGCAAGUUGCAGCUGUCAUAUGUUUGAGUUCUCAGGCAUUCUCUGUAGGCAUGUAUUGACGGUCUUCACUGUGACAAAUGUUCUUACACUUCCAGCUCAUUAUAUAUUGAAGAGGUGGACAAGAAAUGCCAAGAGCUGGGUUGGUUCAGAUGAACGCAAUGGUGAACUGCAAGGUCAUGAAACUCUAACAGUCCGAUACAACAAUCUGUGCCGGGAAGCCAUUAGAUAUGCUGAGGAAGGAGCAAUAGCUGUAGAGACUUACAAUGUGGCAAUGAAUUCUCUAAGAGAGGGUGGAAAGAAAGUUUCUGUUGUGAAGAAAAAUGUUGCAAGAGUUGCACCUCCUAGCUCUCAGGUCAUUGGAAGUAACCAGGAUGAAAUUAGCCGGAGAACACCUAUACCACCUACAGAGAUGACUCCAUCAUUGUGGCCUCGACAAGAUGAUGUGACCCGUCACUUUAAUCUUAAUGAUACUGGUGCCCCUACUCCACCUGUUGCAGACUUGAAUCUACCAAGGAUGGCCCCUGUCUCUCUUCAUCGGGACGAUGGUCCUUCUGAUAACAUGGUUGUGCUUCCUUGCCUCAAAUCAAUGACUUGGGUCAUGGAGAAUAAGAACUCUCUGGCUAAUAGGGUAGCUGUUAUAAAUUUGAAGUUGCAAGAUUAUAGCAAGACUCCUUCUGGAGAAACAGAAGUAAAAUUUCAACUUUCAAGGGUCACACUAGAACCAAUGUUGAGAUCUAUGGCUUACAUCAGCGAGCAGCUCUCAACACCUGCUAAUAGGGUUGCUGUUAUCAAUCUGAAGCUCCAAGAUACUGAGACAACUACUGGAGAAACCGAGGUGAAGUUUCAGGUAUCCAGAGAUACGUUGGGUGCAAUGUUGAGAUCAAUGGCCUAUAUUCGUGAGCAGCUGUCAAAUGCUGUCGAGGCUCAAUCAGAGCCAACAUCGAAAAAACAGCGGCAGUAGAUCCAUUGUAGCCAAGUUAGUUUUGUUCAUAACCAGAUGUGUAUUGUUAUUUCCAUCAAAGGCAUUUAGCGAACUCAGGUCCACAAGUCACUACCAGCACCUUUGGUGAGUUGGGGUCUUUCUGGUAACGCUCUCCACUUGUUGCAGUGUCUAUGGCCUGCUGUUCCAUGACUUCUUUCACUGUUCAAGUGAGGAGGCGGCUGCAAUGACCUUCUGUCAGUUCCAUUUUGGAAUUGAGCCCCGUGGUUAAUUACUUGGGGGCCGUUUGAUAACUGCUGAAUGCUGAAAGUGUAAUGCAGAAAAGAUUCCAGAUUCCAGACUUAAAAAAUGGCAUAAAUCCAGGGGUGUUGUUGGCAUAUGAUAAAACUUAUAGGGGGGGGGGGGGUUAAAUAAUCACUCCAAUGCCCGAGUCUGGUUGUGUUGCACUUGUGCACUUCCAGUCUAAGACGGUUCUCAUUAUAUGUGCACAAAGUGCAGUAGAUCCAACUCCCAAUACCAGAAUGCUGAAUCAUUUUUAAAUUUGAAAUCGUUUCAGUACUUUGCUUUCA